rnacentral:piRNA from 1 species
UACUAUAUUGAUCCUGUCUAUCCAUGA